rnacentral:tRNA from 1 species
GGCAUGAUCGCUGAGCGGUAAAGUGCUUGGCUUCCGAACCGGGGGUCCCAGGUUCAAACCCUGGUGAAGACU